CAAGUCAGCUCUUAACACUAUCCCUACUUGAAGGUGCUGAAAUUGCUAUUUGAUUUAGAUGAAAAUCGAGGCGAUUAGGAAAUAGAAAUCGAGCUUUCAACUCAAAUAUUAGUGAAGCAUUUAAAAGGUCCAAAAUGUCUCUGAGUUACUAAUACAGGGAAGUUUUUAAGAAAUGCUGUUUUUGAGCCUAAUGGCUUAUAAUCUCUAUUUCAAAUUUAUUAGCACAGAGUGCUCUAAUUCACAAAUAAUUAACAUUGCCUCUUUUUAUAAAACACCGAUAAAUUUUAUUUUAAAAAGGAACCCUCUAAAAGGAGGUCAAAGGUUAGUUGGUCUCUAAAUGAUAAUACGUUUAUCAGCAAAAUAAACUGAGAAAUAAUAUGCACAUAAAGGCCAAUAUGUUCUCACUGUCUCAAAUUCCUACAAAAACACAAUGAAUUUGACAAUCCAUGCUGCCUUUGCACAAAAAAAGGACUUUUUUUCCUUUUUUGUGAGCUGAAGAAGACUGUGCCAAUAUAAACGUCUGCUUUUCAUCCUCUGAGCAGCCCAGGGCAACAGUGUUAUCUCUGACCCAGGGACAUGUUUUUAGAAGCAUUGGAUCCCCUUCACACAAAAUUAAUGAGCAGUGUAUUUUCAAAUCUUUUCUAAGUGCUCUCCUCUCGGUUGCUCCAACCCUACUUCCACCCCAUUUGCUAAAUGAAAUGGUUGCACAAGAUUUUAUUGUCUGGAUGUACUACAGUUUAUUUAUUGAUUCACCUACUGAAGGACCUCUUGAUUACCACUACUUUUGGCAAUUAUUAAUAAAGCUGCUGUAAACAUCUGUGUGCAGGUUUUUUUGUUUUCUUUUUUUUUUGGAGGGCAUACAUUUUCAGUUCAUUUGAGUAAAUACCAAGAAGUGUGAUUGCCAAAUUGUAUGCCAAGAGUAUGUUUGCCUUUUGGAGAGAACAGUCUAGCAGAAAUGUGAAAGGUAGAACAGAAGCACGCCAUGCAGGCCUGAGGAAGGAAGCCAAAGUGGGUCAGGGUGGGAGGUGGCAAGCCUCAAAUGUGAACAUGGCAGCGGGAAUGGAGAGAGAGCAGAGUUUCAGAGAUAGUACAGAGAUAUAUAGACAAGGCUCCAAUGACUAACU
rnacentral:lncRNA from 1 species